AUGGGAGCUCUGCUCCCUGAUGUUAGCGGCGGACGGGUGAGUAACACGUGGGUAACCUGCCUGUAAGACUGGGAUAACUCCGGGAAACCGGGGCUAAUACCGGAUGGUUGUUUGAACCGCAUGGUUCAAACAUAAAAGGUGGCUUCGGCUACCACUUACAGAUGGACCCGCGGCGCAUUAGCUAGUUGGUGAGGUAACGGCUCACCAAGGCAACGAUGCGUAGCCGACCUGAGAGGGUGAUCGGCCACACUGGGACUGAGACACGGCCCAGACUCCUACGGGAGGCAGCAGUAGGGAAUCUUCCGCAAUGGACGAAAGUCUGACGGAGCAACGCCGCGUGAGUGAUGAAGGUUUUCGGAUCGUAAAGCUCUGUUGUUAGGGAAGAACAAGUACCGUUCGAAUAGGGCGGUACCUUGACGGUACCUAACCAGAAAGCCACGGCUAACUACGUGCCAGCAGCCGCGGUAAUACGUAGGUGGCAAGCGUUGUCCGGAAUUAUUGGGCGUAAAGGGCUCGCAGGCGGUUUCUUAAGUCUGAUGUGAAAGCCCCCGGCUCAACCGGGGAGGGUCAUUGGAAACUGGGGAACUUGAGUGCAGAAGAGGAGAGUGGA
rnacentral:rRNA from 1 species